GGCGCUCAUAAAUGCGUUCAAGCUGCUCUCCACCGCCAUCAUCCUAAAAAUAGGUAAAACAAGUCAUAAGAAAUGCUUACAAAGGUAGGAAGUUGCGUAAAACAAAAGCACUAUUACAAUUCCAUUACUGGAUCCUAUCCUCUAAUGGGUUGAAGCGAUGACUCUAUCCUCUCUAACGAGUUGAAGCAAUGACUGUAUGAUCUAUGAUACACAAUGAAUAAAAGCAUCUAGACUUCUGCGAAUAGGUUACUGGAGCGUACUAGUGACGUUAUUAACCCGGAAAGUUUACAAAACCCUUGUACCAUUACGCUAAGAAACUAUAACACUAUGUUUGUAUCAAGAAAUUUAAGAUUACUAAGAAAUUUUAAAAUCACGGUAAUUGAAAUGACGAGAUUUUAUUUUCUAAAAUUUGUGAAUUUUCUUGUUUGGUUAACCUAAAAGAAUAAUGGAAUUGAAUACAGAAUUUGUUAUUUUUAAACUCUCAAUCAUAGAAAUUUGGAAAUGACACCUAUUUACAUGGUAUUUAAACUUGGGAAUUGGAUGUUCCAAAUUCCAAGUUUUUUUCCAUGCGGAAAUUCUAAAUUUCUAUGUUUAUGAAUCCAAACAAAGGAAUUGGUGCAUGUCAAUUUAUAAAUUCUGACCUUUAUCCAAAUUCCAAGUUUAUUUCCUUCAUCCAAACAUAGUGUAGGGUCAUUUAAAGAGGAUUUUCAUACCGAAUUAUGCAAACUUGUUAGUUUUUACCCUUAAAUUUAUUCACAUUAAUUUAUAACGACUAACCAAACUCUGGUUAUGUACUUUGAUUACCAAAGAGCAAAGUAAUACAAAAUCUAACAUUUAAUUUACUACAGCAUACCUGAGCUGCCAGUUCUUCAACUUCUUUCUCCAACUUUAUCCUCUCCUCAUCGCAGCUAAUGACAGCCUCAAGUGAAGACAUGUCUGAAGCUUCAAUUUCCCUGCUGAGAUGAUAGAUAUCCAUGUGAUCCGGAAUUGGAAGCUCUCGGAGCCCUAUGGCAG
rnacentral:lncRNA from 1 species